rnacentral:RNase_P_RNA from 2 species
AUGUUUGCUGUAAUCGCUACGUAUGAUUCAUAUGUAGAGGAAAGUCCAUGCUCACACAAGCUGAGAUGCUUGUAGUGUUCGUGCUUGAUGAAAUCAUAAAUCAAGGUAACCUGUAAGGGUUAACGGCAGUGUAAGCACCUACGUCUUUGGAUAUGGUGUGAUACGCUUGAAAGUGCCACAGUGACGUAGUCAGAUUGGAAACAAUUUGAGUGGAACGCGGUAAACCCCACGAGUGAGCAACCCAAAUUUAGGUAGGGGCAUCUUGGAUUAGGGAAUUGAACCGAAACAAGGACAAGCAAUUAGCUUGUAGAUAGAUGAUUACAACUUACGUACAAGGCUGACCACCGUUAGUAGUGCAACAGUAACAGAACAUGGCUUACCAAA